UACGUAGGGACCACGCGUUGUUCGGAUUUACUGGGCGUAAAGGGCGCGUAGGCGGCAAUUCAAGUCAUCUGUGAAAUCUCCGGGCUUAACUCGGAAUGGUCAGGUGAUACUGCUUUGCUAGAGUGCAGAAGGGGCAAUCGGAAUUCUUGGUGUAGCGGUGAAAUGCGUAGAUAUCAAGAGGAACACCUGAGGUGAAGACGGGUUGCUGGGCUGACACUGACGCUGAGGCGCGAAAGCUAGGGGAGCAAACGGG
rnacentral:rRNA from 1 species